rnacentral:pre_miRNA from 1 species
UACACGCCUACCGACGGUUGUCGGUAUCGUUGCGCAGAUAUUUUAUAUGGUGAAAAAGUUGCGCAACGACACCGACAACUCGAGUAGGCGUGUAAAA